UACUUAUCAAUUAAUGCCACAUGGAAGGA
rnacentral:sRNA from 1 species